CAGAAAUAGCUAUUUAUUAAUAUUUUAACUAUUUAAUGUGAUUUAUAACACAUUGUGGUACAACUGGCCAUUGAGAACAUUCAUACUGAUCUGACCCGGUCCGGGCCAGACCCCGAGAGCAAAAUGAGGGGGCGUCACUAUGGGAAACCUGGUCAUAUUGUGUGGAAGUCUAAGACUUUGUGUAAACGACUGCUUUAACAUUUUCUCAACUUGUUCAAUUUUGCUCAGGAUGUGACUUAGGUCAGUUCAUUUUGAUGAUGAUACUGAAACCACUAAGAUUUAUUCCAGUCACAUUUUUUUUUCUCCGUUUAUGCCUCCAAUCAUUUCUCCAUAAUCAUAGCAACGUUCAUCUUCUGCGCAUGUGGACAUAGAAGUGUCAUUGCGGCAGUACGAUCAAGACAAUAAAAAGACAAUAAAUUGGAAUUGAACACCAAGACCUGCUGUGUAACGGAAGCUUUAUAACCUAAAGGCAAUUUAGAGACAUCACAACAGUGAACCUAACUAAGAGAUGCAUUUUUUACCUGAACCAAAAUUAAGAAUUUCCACCAUUUUUGAACAAUAAAAGUAUUAACAGAAUGAGCUUUGAUAGCAUUACCUCUUUUCUGUUCAUUAUCUCUCUCUCUCUCUAUAUAUAUAUAUAUACAGUAUAUAUAUAUAUAAAGGAUUUUUAAUCACACAAAGUGUAUAGACAGUAAUACAAAAUACAACUGUGUGCAAAAGUAAUAAUGUUUAAUUCAAAUAAAACCAUGCAACAGGUGACAGUCACCCUGAUUAGGCUCUACCCCAUUACAAAAUAAACAUCCAAAGCCGUACGUCGUCUUCAGUGAGCGUUCGCUGAACGACGGAAAGAAGAGACAAUUCCAUGGAAUACACAGGGAAA